CUACCGUAGCCGAUAAGCCUUAAGCGAGGGCAAUGAGAGGGGACAAGAGACAUUCCCAACUGGUGUAGGGUGAAUACAAUGGAUACCAAAUAAAAAACGAAAAUUAUAACCUAAAUUGACAAUGGGAUGGAAUUGAAAAUGCAGUUGAGGAUUUUUAUGAUUAAAAUAUUUGCAGAUUUUAGGACUUGAAGUAUGUGCUGAUACCAUGGUGGGCGAUGAAAUGAUACGAGGCAUCUCUGGCGGACAAAAGAAGCGACUCACAACUGGAGAGAUGCUGGUUGGACCAGCAGGAGCACUUUUCAUGGAUGAAAUAUCAACUGGCUUGGACAGUUCAACAACUUUUCAAAUUGUUAACUCACUCAGGCAAUUAAUCCACAUUCUCAGCGGAACUGCGCUUGUCUCUCUUCUCCAGCCAGCACCAGAAACAUAUGAUCUUUUUGAUGAUAUAAUUCUCCUAUCUGAUGGACAAAUCGUGUAUCAAGGUCCACGCGAAAAUGUGCUUGAGUUCUUUGAAUACAUGGGAUUCAAAUGUCCUGAGAGGAAGGGAGUUGCUGACUUCUUACAAGAGGUAACGUCAAUGAAAGACCAAGAGCAGUACUGGGUACAUAAAGAUUUGCCUUACAGCUAUGUUUCUGUGAAGGAAUUUGCUGAAGCAUUUCAAUCAUUUCACGUUGGGAGAAAACUUGGUGAUGAACUUGCUACACCAUUUGACAAGUCCAAUUGCCAUCCUGCUGCUCUAACAACUAAGAAGUACGGUAUCAACAAGAAGGAGCUCCUGAAAGCAUGCUUUUCAAGAGAACUUCUGCUCAUGAAGAGGAACUCAUUUGUCUACAUUUUCAAAAUUACCCAACUUAUUAUUAUGGCUCUCUUAUCAAGUACAGUAUUUCUGAGAUCGGAAUUGCACCGUGACACAUUAACAGAUGGAGGAAUUUAUCUUGGUGCUCUUUUCUUGACUGUUGUCACCAUAAUGUUCAAUGGGUUCACAGAGCUUGCACUGACCAUCAUUAAACUUCCUGUCUUCUACAAGCAAAGAGAUCUUCUAUUUUACCCUUCAUGGGCAUAUGCUCUACCCACAUGGAUUCUCAAAAUUCCAGUCACCUUUGUCGAAGUUGCUAUAUGGGUGAUCAUAACUUACUACGUUAUAGGCUUUGAUCAAAACAUUGAAAGGUUUUUCAAGCAGUACUUGAUACUACUAUUUACAAACCAGAUGGCGUCAGGUCUAUUUCGUUUGAUGGCAGCAUUAGGAAGAAAUAUAAUCGUUGCUAACACUUUUGGAUCGUUUGCAUUACUUGCAAUACUGGUUUUGGGUGGAUUCAUCUUAUCACGAGAUGACGUGAAGAAGUGGUGGUUAUGGGGUUACUGGGUCUCACCUUUGACAUAUGUGCAAAAUGCUAUAUCCGUGAAUGAAUUUCUUGGGAAGACUUGGAGACAUGUUCCUCCCCACUCUACAGAGCCACUAGGAGUUGGUCUCUUGAAGUCUCAUGCAAUUUUCCCUGAAGCAUGUUGGUAUUGGAUUGGAGUAGGAGCUCUAAUUGGAUACAUUUUUCUAUUCAAUUUCCUUUACACUUUAGCCCUAAAAAAUCUUGAUCCAUUUGGGAAGCCUCAGGCAACACUGUCAAAAGAGGCCUUAGCUGAGCAAAAUGCUAAUAGAACCGGAGAGUUUAAUACAUCAUCAACAAGUGGAAAGAGCUCUUUGGAAAGAGGGAAUGAGAGCCAAAGAAGUAUCUCAUGUAUCUCAUCCAGCACACUAUCUGCAAGAAGUAUCUCAUGUAUCUCAUCCAGCACACUAUCUGCAAGAGUGGACAACUUCAGCAAUGCUAAUCAGAGCAGGAAAUGGGGAAUGGUUCUCCCAUUCCAACCCCUUUCUAUGGCUUUCAAUGAAAUAAAAUAUGCUGUAGACAUGCCACAGGAAAUGAAAGCUCAAGGUAUUCCUGAAGAUCGUUUAGAACUUCUUAAGGGUAUCACCGGUGCUUUCAGUCCAGGAGUCCUAACAGCGCUUAUGGGUAUUAGUGGUGCUGGCAAGACAACUCUUAUGGAUGUUUUGGCUGGAAGAAAAACAGAUGGUUAUAUCGAGGGAAGCAUCUUAAUAUCUGGGUACCCAAAGAAGCAAGAAACUUUUGCUCGUAUGUCAGGAUACUGUGAGCAAACAGAUAUUCACUCUCCACAUGUUACAGUCUAUGAGUCAUUGCUUUAUUCUGCUUGGCUUCGACUAUCCCCUGAGGUUAAUUCUCAUACAAGAAAGGUGUUCAUUGAGGAAAUUAUGGAGCUUGUGGAGCUGACCUCUUUAAGAGAAGCACUUGUAGGAUUGCCUGGUGUGAAUGGCCUUUCUAUUGAACAGCGUAAAAGGAUGACAAUUGCAGUUGAGCUUGUAGCUAACCCAUCAAUCAUUUUCAUGGAUGAGCCAACGUCUGGUCUUGAUGCCAGGGCAGCAGCCAUAGUUAUGAGAAUAGUGAGGAAUACUGUAGACACACCAGCCAAGCAUUGAUAUUUUUGAUGCUUUUGAUGAGUUAUUUUUGCUGAAAAGGGGAGGCCAAGAAAUUUAUGUCGGUCCAGUUGGACGACAUGCCUAUCACCUGAUCAGAUAUUUUGAGGAAAUUGAAGGAGUUCCCAGGAUUAAGGAUGGUUAUAAUCCAGCAACCUGGAUGUUGGAAGUUUCUACAGCAGCACAGGAAGCAGCUCUUGGGGUUAACUUCACUGAUAUAUACAAGAACUCAGAACUAUACAGG
rnacentral:misc_RNA from 1 species